AAGGCAGGUCGCCUUAUCGCGCUUUUAAAGUGAGGAAAGUCCGGACACCAAAGCACAGCGUAGCGGGUAACGCCCGUCAUUUGUUUUAAAACAAAUCGGACAAGUGCAACAGAAAGGAUGUACAGGUUAAGCUGUAGUGAAAUCAGGUAAACUCUACGCGGUGAAAUACCAAGUAAACCAAGUUUUGAGGCUUGUGCGGCCAAUCUUGGAGGGUUGGUAGAUUAGAUUUUAAUAGCAAUAUUAAAACCAGAUAAAUGAUAAGGCGUUAACUCAAGUUAACGACAGAAUCCGGCUUACAGACCUGCUUUUUUU
rnacentral:RNase_P_RNA from 1 species